UUUGGUGGCGAUAGCGAAGAGGUCACACCCGUUCCCAUACCGAACACGGAAGUUAAGCUCUUCAGCGCUGAUGGUAGUCGGGGGUUUCCCCCUGUGAGAGUAGGACGCCGCCAAGC
rnacentral:rRNA from 1 species